CCGGCUUGAAUCCUUCCUUGCCUGAUACCCUGCUUGUUCCAGUUCCUGCCAUCCAGUUUAACCCCCAGUUCUGGCUUCUAACUACCAACUCCGGCUUGACUGUUGGCUCCAAAAUCUGACUACUGACUCCAGCGCUGACCCUAGUCCUUGGUUCCCAAUGUCUGCUCCAACCACUAGGUCUGACUCCUGCUUUGGCCGCUAGGCUAGACCGCUCUCAUCCUGGCUGGCUGACAUGGUACUUCUAUCAGAAUAGGAAGCUGGCAUGCUAUGCAGAGCACCUGCUGGUUGCUGGAUGACUCGCUGACCUGGGGAGCUUCCACAGGAGGGGCAGAGCUGGAAAGGAAGUGUGCUGCAUUGGCUUCUGAUGCUUUAGGUGAAUUUCCAGUCACAUUUACUUAUACUACCACUCCUUCUCCCCAAGACAUCACAGCGGAGGGAAGCCUGGGGACGGUGUGAUAGCUUUCCAAAGACUAAAUCCAAGGCUUCAAAUCAGAGAACCCUGCAUCUCUUUAAACAGGCCCAAUGAAGAACCAAGAAAACAUAUAUUUAAAAUGCCAAAAUGUCAGGAGUUGGUCUGCAAUACCAGGCUCUCACUCCAGCCCAUGCACACGGGGCAAAUAAUUGUCAUAUGUGACACACGGGCCAAAGACAGAGCUGCUCAAGAUUAGCAGCAGUGAGAACAAAGAAGUUUGUGACUAGAAGUGGAGGUGUUGGUGUUGAGUGCAAUGGUUGAUUGGAAGCUUUUGGGGGCAGAGACUGUCUCUUACUCUGUUUGCACGGAGUCUAGCACAUUGGGACCCGAAUGUGACUGGAAUCUCCCAGCGCUACGGAAAAAAUAUAUAGUUAUGACACAGGUUAACUCAGUGACUACUUCCAUCUGACUCCGCGCUCUCUCUGCAGAACAAGGGAAUGACAACUGAGAGUAACUGCAUGACUGGAACACUCCAGCUAGUAAAUCUUCCUGGGCAGUGGCAUCAAUUUCAAUUUAUGCUUGGAAGUAUUUUUAAUUAAAAAAAUCAAUACCGAAAAACGUUUAUUUUAGGGGUUGAAAAAAACUCACAAAUCACAAUAGGGGUUUGCCAGAUUGAUUUAGCUCGGCAGCACAGUUAGGAUGCACAUAGCAUUUAUUA